rnacentral:rRNA from 1 species
GCCAGACUCCUACGGGAGGCAGCAGUGGGGAAUAUUGCACAAUGGGGGAAACCCUGAUGCAGCGACGCCGCGUGAGUGAAGAAGUAUUUCGGUAUGUAAAGCUCUAUCAGCAGGGAAGAAAAAAGACGGUACCUGACUAAGAAGCCCCGGCUAACUACGUGCCAGCAGCCGCGGUAAUACGUAGGGGGCAAGCGUUAUCCGGAUUUACUGGGUGUAAAGGGAGCGUAGACGGCGAUACAAGUCUGAAGUGAAAGCCCGGGGCUCAACCCCGGGACUGCUUUGGAAACUGUGUUGCUGGAGUGCUGGAGAGGCAAGCGGAAUUUCUAGUGUAGCGGUGAAAUGCGUAGAUAUUAGGAAGAACACCAGUGGCGAAGGCGGCUUGCUGGACAGUAACUGACGUUGAGGCUCGAAAGCGUGGGGAGCAAACAGGAUUAGAUACCCUGGUACC